CUUUACCUACUCUUUUUCUCCAUAGCCCUAAUCAUUGCCACCACUAGACUAUAAACUAUAAAAACAGGGCCUUUAUUCAAGGCUGUAUUCUUGCAUCUACAUAAUGCCCAGUCAGUGGUACACAUUUUUUCAUAUGUCUGAGCCAGAGAAAGGUUUACUGCAAAGCUAACGGAGCUUAACCUUCAGUCCUCUCAUUUGACAUGGGCUUCUGCAAGUACUGGGAAUUGUUGGAGGAUGUUCAGUAUUCUAGGUGGUGAGAGGGAAACCAAGUUAGCAUUAGGAAAUAGGUAAGCAUGAAUGGAAGAUUACCUGAAGGAGUAUCAGAAGAGACUUGAAUCACUGACUUCAUGGAUCCCCCAAAUUACAUAAGCACCACAAAACCAGCAUCUGCCAAAGUAGAUCACUCAGCUUUUCAGGAAGCAAACAGUAGAGGAGUUUGUUUGCAAUCAAGUAUUUUCUUCAAAGUAGGAUAUCCAGACCCUGCAUGACCACUCUUGAAUCAGAAAUCAUUUAUCCUAGCAACAUUUCCAUGUCUAAGCCACUUCCAGAGUUAUUGCCACAGCCAACAGGUCAUUGUUUCCAUCCCUCUGGCAUCCUGAACUCCAGAGGAGGAGUGGGGAAGGAGUCAGUUGCUCAAGAAUCUCUCAGGUAAGCCUUUUCUGGAUGUCCUCUGAGCAUGUGAAAAACGGAGGAGCAAAGAAAAUAAAAGAUCAAAUUCUCCUGGCCCAUCCAAGGUAAGCUAUAGGGUAUUCAGAAUACUAUGAUGUGUAUUCAUGUUCUGACCUCCAAUAAGGAAAUUUUGAUUACCUUGAUAGUUGGUGGAAAAGUAGAAUUGACAAAAAAUGGAUGGAUACAUAUAAGUUUUUGAGGACUCCUAACUUUGAGAUGGAGGGAAAUAAAGCAUAUCGAAAUAGGCAAUUUAGCAGUCCUGACCUCAUAGCAUUGCUAGUUAUUUUUUCAGCCAAACACAGAAGGUACUUACAAAAGAGAAGGGAAUGAUAAUUUAGAAAGUUUAUGUGGAUAAGGAGCUCAGAUAACUGGAGAGUAUAGACAGCAAACUGAAAUAGAAGAAAAAGAAUAAAGCAGUGGAUGAUAGGUGAAAAUUAUAUACGUAAUGGGUAACUUAGAUUGAUAAUUGAGGAUGGAUGGAGUGUUGAUGGAAAAACUGUACAGAAAUUUUUAAUUUGAAUAGAUUCACAGAUAGAUAAAAGGAUGGGUAAUAUAUUUAUUAAAUUAUAUCUGCAACAAAUCAUUUUUAUUUCCUGUUUAACAGACAAAAAAGAAAAUUGCUUUGAUGGAGUCCAAUUGCUAAGUGGCAGAUUACAGCUUUUCUAUAUUGUUAUGAAAAAUGGGGUUUCCAGAAAUUUCUAUGUUUGUCUUCAAAGAGAGCUGCAGCUUCGUGAUGAAAAGCCCCCUCUAACAUUGGACACGUGUUCUGCUGGAGGCCGCUCUAAAUCAUGGAAGCAAAUCCAUCCAAUGGGAGAAAUCUGCCUUAACAUCCCAGAAACAUUUCCACCUGUAAAUUCUGAGAUCUUAAAAUUAGAAUCUGCCUCCAAUUAUGACUUGACAGUACAUACAAGUUCCAGGAGAGCCCCAGCAAAGCAUGCAAUAACUGCAAUGGUGUAAACUGUACUCUCUCUCAGUCUCUCUUGGAUUUUGCUGCUCCAGGGGAAGCCAGCUGCCAUCCCAUGAGGCAGCGCGGAGGAGAAUGCCGCCAACAGCCAUGUGAGUGAUGUUGGAAGCAGAUUCUCCCAGUUGAGACGUGAGAUGAGAGCAACCCUGGCCGACACCUUGACUGAAGCCUCAUGAAAGACCUUGAAUGAGAACCACCUGGCUAAGCUGCUUCUGAAAUCCUGACCCACAGAAACUACACAAUAAGAAAUGUUAUUGCUUUCAGUUUUUAGGUUUUGGAAUAACUUUGGUAUACAGCAAUAGAUAACUGAAACAUAUCACAACAUAUUACACAUCAGAGACGGGGCUAAGCAAAUGAGAUCAUUUGCUUUUCACAACAACCCCACAAAAUAAGUACUGUUAUUAUCACCCUUUUAUAUAUUAGGAAGCUGAAGUACAAGGAAAUAAAAUAGUCAAGUGUGGCCUAUCUGGCUUAUGAAUGGAGUACCUGGGGAUUUAUCAAAGAAUCUCUAAAUACGGGGUCUAGCACGUAGUAUAUGGUGCUGAAUCUGUGUUGAUUGAUUCAACAUGAUCAUGUCCAAAAAACUGCAAUAAGAGAACAAAAACACAAGUUCUAUUAUUUACGUUCAACCAGAGCAGACAUGAGUUCCCCAUGAAGACUUAAUAUACCUCUUUUAAUGCAGAGUUCACGUGAGGCUUCUGGUUUUCUUCUCUCUAUGAUUAAUGCCUCUAGGAUCACGAUUCCCCACACUCAAGAGGUAAGACAAACCUGGCAGAGAUCCAAUAGUCUCUGUCAUUUACUAUGCCUGUCUGUAGACAUGGGGUCAUGGUCUAAGAGUCGUGAGCUGAAGGCAGCCUUACUUCCUUGACUCCUUAACCUGUUAGUCCCUGCUUGUUCUUCCAAAUUCUGCAUCCUUUAUCUUUCCAUUGUUUGGGACACACAAUUCCCCUUAUAAGUCCAGUCCCUUAGUUCCCAAUCAUGACCUGAGCCAGGGUGCUUUGAGAAAGUUCUGACUCCAUGAACUUGGGCUUAUCAACAUGGUUAGUUGCCAAAGCCCAAGUAAACAUGUGCUAGAGCCUUGUAAUUGGCCUCCACCCAAAUCCCAAGGCUUUCUCUCCAUCUGGUUACUUUUAAUAACGGCUGGAAUCUAAAAAGACAAAAGAAAAAUUCUAUAUCCUCUCUAUUUACACAUUAUUUCUUAAGUUGUGGCCCCAUUUUGGCCAUGCUAGUCCACAUCUAGAAAUAAGAGACCUGUGUUCUGACCUUUUACCAUAUCUUAUGGCCAGGGCACCAGCUUAGUGAUAAAUACUUUUUCACAUUGACAGCCCACCUACUUACCUGCUAAGACUCCCAAACAUAGCCUCCUCAUUGCUGUGUUUUUCCUACAACUGUGUGAUGCUUUACUUCAUCUUAAAUCUCCAUCAUCUUCUACUUGCUUAAACAAUGUUAAUAUAAAACCCCUUGGACACUGUACUGUACCCAACACCAGAACAUUCUUUCAAUCCUGUCUGGAACAAGUAUGUAAGAUGGAUGAUUCUUGGUAUUAAUGUUAUCAUUAGUAAAAAGAAUAUGAAAAUAUUUUGUUUAUUAAAUGCCAGGAACUGUG
rnacentral:lncRNA from 1 species